CUUCACUCAUUAAGGUUUCUCAGUUUGUUGCUGCUGAAGUCUGAUUAAUACACGACAGAAAUUUAUCAUGGGACAGAGUACUUCACGAGUACAACCGUUUACGGAGAGCGAGCAGGUCUACGACCUCCCUCACAGUAAACCCCCAAAAUCCAGCCCCGACACGGCUGAGAAACAUCAUCCUCAUCGGCCUGAUGAGAAGACUGUGGAUGAAGGGGAGGGAACUGUGCUUCCCACCUCUCCUCUGAAAGAGAAAAAGAAGAGCAAUAAAAAGAAAGUGGGACACUUCUUUAAAUGGUUCUCUUCCCGUUUGAGGAAAAAAAUCACCAAAAGCAAGAGCUCAGGUCAGGAUGAGAUGAAAGACCAAGGUACUGAGACAGAAACAUCCGGGAGAACCGACGAUCAGAAGCCUCAACAGCCCAUCUGCAGAUCUGUAGAGGUCACUGAUCUCGAGGAACCUCACACCAGUGUUCUUCAAGUCCCUCCUGCUGCUGAGCCUCUGGUGCAGAAAGACCUCCAAACUCAAGACCACGAUGCUCCAGUCAGUGUGAGAGCAGGUGAAUUGUCUCCUCUGAUGAUAGAGUUGGACAGCAAUGAAGUGGACACGAGACCUGAAGACAUUUGCUGCCGAUAUGCAAUUGGCAGCAAGCUGGGUCAAGGUGGAUUUGGCGCCGUCUAUAAUGCGACUCGUUUGGAGGAUAGACUUAAGGUGGCUGUGAAAUUCGUCAAAAAGACAAAACACACGGAAUAUAUCAGCAUUCCUGAUCAUCCUAAGCCUCUUCCCAAAGAAGUCGCCCUGACAAUUCUGGCCAAUAAAGGCCCAGUGAUGGAUAUUAUUAGGCUGCUGGACUGGCAGGACCAGCAGAACUUCUACGUCAUUGUCGUCCAGCGCUUCUCACACUGCAUGGAUGUUUUACGCUUUGUGCAACGCAAUGGAGGCAGCAUCGAUGAGAAGUUAGCGAAGCUCAUCAUGUUUGGGGCAACACUAGCCGCCAGUGCAUGUUGUAGACGUGGAGUUUACCAUGGGGACAUCAAGUUAGAGAACCUGCUGAUAAACUUGGAGAACCUCCAAAUCAAACUAAUUGACUUUGGAUGUGGCAGUGUCCUGACAGAAUCUGCCUACACAAGCUUCAGUGGAACAGUUAUGUACUGUCCUCCCGAGUACAUACUGAAGGGGGAGUUCCAUGGAAAGCCAGCGACGAUCUGGUCUUUAGGGAUCCUCUUGUUCAGAAUGCUGUGUGGACACUUUCCAGAUAGUUACGACUUCUACAGGACCAACUUGAACACCUGGUCCAAACCUGGCUUGACAGAAGAAUGCUGCUAUUUGAUCUGCUCCCUUCUGCAGCAAAAGCCAGAACGUCGGAUUGAUCUGGACAGGAUUGUUUACCAUGACUGGUUUUAGUCUAAAGAGCCCAAGACCCUUCCCCGAAACAUCGACCUAUCAAUCCAGUGAUGGACAUUAUUAAGCUGCUGGACUGGAAGGACCUUCAGGACGUCUACAGUUCGUCAGUCGUCCAGCGUUUAUCACACUGCAUGGAUGCGUUCCACUUUGUGUAACACAAACAGAGGCAGCAUUGAGCAUCCUCUUGUUCAGAAUGCUGUGUGGAUAUAUUCUAGAUAGUUUCAGCAUCUACAGGACCAACAUGAACACCUGGUCCAAACCUGGCUUGACAGAAGCUGAGUUCUUCUCCACAAGUACAAUUCUACUACAAAACUUUAUAGGAUUAACUGGAGAUGGCAUAUGGAUAAUGCAGCAAUAUAUCCUGUUUUACUGACCUAAAGAGCUUUCAGCUUGGAAUAGAGCGAAUGUAGUUUACAGUAAUAAUCAGACGUCUCUUCCAUCUUUCUGCACAGAAUGCUGCCAUUUGAUCUGCUCCUUUCUGCAGCAAAAGCCAGAACGUCAGCUUGAUCUGACAGGAUUAUUCACCAUGACUGGUUUUAGGUGCAAGACCGAUCACUGUCACUCUGAAAGUGUCAUCUGUGGAGAUGUUUCGUCUUCCAGGAGGAACUGAGUCUUCGUCCAUCCACUUUAACAUCUUACAGGGCCAGCAAGCUCUGGUAGCAUUUGUGCCUUUGGCUUGAGGCAGCAAUAUUAACAACUGGAGAUGUUGCUUGCUGAAGGAUGUGAAAAUGUAUUUACUUUUGUAAAAAAAUAAAAUAAAAUAAAAAUCCUUCAUCUGAAAGGCCGCAAAGAGCCUUCACAGAAUUCUACUUUUUAGUAAAAAAGUUAAAUGUUCACAGAAUG